GGGGAUGACAGGCUUCGACAGGGAGGGCUGGUCAGCGACUGCAAGCCGGGGCGCCUCACCCCCGUAACCAAGGGGCAACGCAUACAAGUGCCAACGACACUUAUGCACCGGCUUACGCUCUCGCCGCCUAAUCGCGGAUAGAGCCCAAGCCAUUGGUCGCCAGAGCGCGGCCACGUCCGCCCUCUGACCUUUGCCGACGGCAGGGGUGCGGGCGACGAAAAGUCGGCAUGCGGCCGGCAGGACGCCGAUAGCGUCGGCCCAAGACUCAUCGGCUGGUGGCUCAUCAAUCCUUGUCGGUCGGGAUGAGAGUCACGAGAAAACAACGCAGACCGACUAAGCUUGUAGUAUGUCUCUGGUCGAACUUUCUGGACGCGGGUUCGAUUCCCGCCAUCUCCACCU
rnacentral:tmRNA from 1 species